AGAAACGCCGAAAGCGCUCAUGAUUAAUGAGCGACAUUCACCUUUACUUUGGAUCCACCUGCAAGAGCUGCUGUAUUCGAGCUGCAGAGAUCUGCUGAGGCUACAGCUCAGUCCUAUUCAGCAGCGACACACGGAAGAGGACACCAAAAUGAAUUCCUCCAUCGACAGAUGUGUGUCUCCAUGUGCCGAUAGAGGGACAGAGCCGAUGGAGGGAUUGACAGUGUGAUGGAGGAAGAGAGUGAGGACAAGAAGAAGAGAGAUGACAUCAUGUGAACAGACCCCACCCUGAAGGCACAGACGAGCUUCUCAUCACUCUCUUACUGUCUCAUCAUGUGUUGACUGGUAUGCCUGAGGACACGAGACAGCUUGACAUAAGCACUGGCGGACCUGCAAGUCGACUUCACAGCGGUAUGGCAGGUCUAAGUGUAUCUUGGGAGGUCAUGACCCUCCCACACUGAGCUGGACAAACAGGACUGAGGAGCUGCAACUGGACAAAGAAUGUUCCUUUUGUUUUUGUUUGGUUAAAUUUUUUCUGUAUAAAAAUACUGGAAAAUUCCUCCCUUUGCACCAGUGCAAAGAAAAUAUCUUUGCAAAGAAUAAGGCAGAAUUUACAUAAGAAACAUUAUGCGACUAUAACAAAAACAACAGAAGCUGUGUUGUGAGUAUGCAUUUGUAUUCUCUCUCUCCCUCUCUCUGUCUUUUUUUGUGAUUGCUGCCUCCCCAGCAUGAUUCAUUCUUUUCCCUGGACUUGAAAAUACAUUUCUGUUGUCAACCGCAUCUACUAGUCUGUAUUAUCUGUACAUCCCACAGUAUAUAUGUUCACUCUCCAUCAGGUUCAGUGUGGAGCCAAUUGUUACCUUAAAAAAAAAAAAAAAAAAAAGCUAAAAUGAAUGAUUUAGAGGGUGUUUGCAUUUUUACAUUUAUUGGAUGUCAACUCUCCUUCUUUGGCUCCUCUGAGUGAGGCAGCAGCUGUGGCAGAAUUGGGAAGACUGGCUUUUCGCAAAGCUGCAGCACUCCUAGUGGUGGAAACACAGAAGAGGUGUUUUAUUUCUGGAAAACUAACCAGACUGCAGGAGACAGCUUCAGACUGAACUUUAUAAUGAUUAUGAUCCACUGUGUUUCUGUGUUGUGCUUUUGCAGUGACAGUCCUAUUUGUGUGUUUGUGUCAGUGGAAGCAGGGAUGAGGAAGCAUACGUGACUUUCCUGUGCCUAUCUGUGUCAUCAAACAGCAACGCACAUGUGCCUGUGUAUAUGUGCAUCAAUGGAGAAAAAUAGCCUCACUAUUGUGUUUUCACUUGCAUAUCCGGGCUUGGGCUGUGUUCAUUUGAACCCUUUUUAUUUUUGAAACAGUGUGCAUGAUUUGUAAAUGUCAGUAAAAAUGGCAUGCCAAUAAAGGCUCUGAAGAAGU